AGCGAACGCUGGCGGCAGGCCUAACACAUGCAAGUCGAACGAAGUCUUCGGACUUAGUGGCGGACGGGUGAGCAACACGUGGGAACGUACCUUUUGGUUCGGAACAACUCAGGGAAACUUGAGCUAAUACCGGAUGAGCCCUUAGGGGGAAAGAUUUAUCGCCGAAAGAGCGGCCCGCGUUAGAUUAGCUAGUUGGUGAGGUAAAGGCUCACCAAGGCUACGAUCUAUAGCUGGUCUGAGAGGAUGAUCAGCCACACUGGGACUGAGACACGGCCCGAACUCCUACGGGAGGCAGCAGUGGGGAAUCUUGCGCAAUGGGCGAAAGCCUGACGCAGCCAUGCCGCGUGAAUGAUGAAGGUCUUAGGAUUGUAAAAUUCUUUUACCAGGGACGAUAAUGACGGUACCUGGAGAAAAAGCCCCGGCUAACUUCGUGCCAGCCGCCGCAGUAAGAC
rnacentral:rRNA from 1 species